rnacentral:rRNA from 1 species
UACGUAUGGAGCAAGCGUUAUCCGGAUUUACUGGGUGUAAAGGGAGCGCAGACGGAUAUGCAAGUCUGAAGUGAAACCCCACGGCUCAACCGUGGGCUUGCUUUGGAAACUGUAGAUCUAGAGUACUGGAGAGGUAAGCGGAAUUCCUGGUGUAGCGGUGAAAUGCGUAGAUAUCAGGAAGAACAUCGGCGGCGAAGGCGGCUUACUGGACAGCAACUGACGUUGAGGCUCGAAGGCGUGGGGAGCAAACAGG